ACGUGCACUAUUCAUCACUAUACUCCUUUAAUCCCCUCCUCCCACCGUCGCGCGCUCUCUUCCACGCACGAGCCCUUUCUCCCUCGCCGCCGUGAAGCUCAUAGGCCCCCUCCCUCCCGUGUCAUCCUCUCUUUGUCCUUCCCUCCGUUGUUUUUUCUUCUUGCGCCGUGUUCGGAAUGGCGGCUCUCUUGCCAUCAGCAGCGCCGCUGAGGAUGCCGUGCCAGGUGGCCGAUCGAAUCCACGUUUACGGCCGCGUGAGGCCACCUGCCUCCCCCGACGCACCGCUGUGGAUCACCGUGGACAGUAGAAACACGACUUUGCACUGCGGCAGCACCUCCUCCGCGCUGCCGAAGACAGAGACCGUUUCGAAACGGCGGCCACCAACCACAGUGCAUGUGACUCAAUCGUCGAGCUUCACACUUGACGGCGUCGUCGGCGAUGCCCGAGGGGUCGCCGCGCAGACUUUCUUUGACAGCACCGCCCGUUCCUGCGUGGAGGACUCUCUGCUGAAGGGGACAAAUGCUACGGUUCUGUGCUGCGGCGAGAAAGGCACCGGCAAGACCACCACCAUGUUUGGCGACGUGGCCGUUCCUGGGCUGUGCCAGCGCAUCCUCGCCUCGCUCUUCGCUGUGGUGGAGGCACAUUCCGAGCCCUCAACGUCCACGUUUCUUUCGGGUGUGGCGAUGACUGCGCCCUCCACAUAUGACCUCGCGUCCCUGUGCUCGAGUGGCGCAGAGGAGGAGGAGGCGCGGCGCGGCUGCCGCACGCGGUUCCUGGUCAAACUCUCGUGCCUGGCGCUCCGUGGAGAGCACGUGGUGGACCUGCUCGCCGAGGCAGCACACGACAUGCCCUCAAACGGGGCGUCGGCGUCGGUGCCGCGGCGGACAGCGCCACCCCCAUUACCGGCUUCCUCGUCUCUAUCGCUCUCUGCGAGGCCCAACAUCACCAUGGAUCCACGAGGCAGAGUGUUAGUGCGCAACGUAUCGAAAGUGACGUGCUGCAGCGCCGCCGACGCCAUCGCGUUGAUACACCAGAGUCGUCGUGCGCCGUCUUCAGCAGCGUCGCCUUGGUCUCCUGGCCACGUCGUCGUCAUAGUGGACGUCACAUGUGAAGAGGGCGAGGAGGCAAGCGCAUCUCACCAUAUCAUCCGCACGGCCAAGCUGUACCUCGUCGACUUGGCAGCCGCGGAGCAGCCGCGGCACCGCAGCCAAAGGCCGCAGCCGCCGCCCUCGUCCACAUCGCCCUCGUUGCCGGCUGCUGAAAGCGUCGUCACAUCGCGCGGCGCCCGCUCCGAGGAUUCGGCGAUCCGGCAUUCACUUGCAAUACUCCAGCAGGUCAUCACAGGGCUCUCGUCUUCGUCGACGGUAGUGGACGAUGCGCCGCCUACGCGGCCUCCGUAUAAGCAGAGCAAGCUGUCGAUGCUGCUCAAAGGCCACCUUGGCGGCGGCUGUCGCACUCUUGUCAUCGCGCAUGUCCGGUCGGAAGAGGCGCACAGGCAGGAAACGCUGGCCACGCUACAGCUGGCGCGGCGGCUCUUGUGCGUGCCAGAGCAUCCUACCUCUCGGGUCGUCGAGGACCCCGUGGUUCGGGUACGCCAGCUGCAGCGGCAGGUGGCGGCGCUGCAGGCGGAGCUGCGGCUGCAGAUGGAGUUGAACCAGCACGCGGCAAGCUCUACAACAGCGCUUGCCGCCGCCGCCGCACCUGUCGAUGCACCGACAGCCAAGAACGCGAAAGAUGCGAAGAAGCGCUUCGGCGAUGCCUCGGCCACGGAUGCACAGGCGCGGUCGUCCAAAUCCUUCACUGGACGGGUGAGUGACCGGUGCACCUCGCCGUCGCAGACACCGGCCGGGGCGGCGAGCGACUGCCAUCCACUGCUGCGCCGCGCCGCCUCAUCAUCCGCUACGCCGGUCUCGGCUGCCCUGACCACAGGCGUAAUGAACUUCGUUGCCGGACGCAUCGCGGUACUCCCAGUCAGCACGGUGCUGGAGAUGAACACGUGCUUCGAGCUGCUGCGGCAGUGUGUGACAGAGAGGGACAUCCAGCUUCGCGCCGCAAUCACAGACCUGCGUAAGGCAGAGGCUGCUACAGCAGCUGCAUUCACGGCCCUGGCAGCGAGCAGCGCGCGCAGCUCCGUUUCCGAGCGGUAUUCAGGGCGAUCCAUCUGCAGCGGAGGGGCCGGCCGACGCCGGAUGCGCUCGAUACGAGGCACGGCGAGUUUAGCGAGGGACACCCCCACCGCGGAGGGCAAGUGCCACUCUUCGAUGGACUCGGUUCUGCCAACGUCGAUAACGCCGCUGCCCAGAUGUAACUCUUUGCGUACGACGCUACUCCAUGAGCCGAGCCCGACUGUGCCGGCAACUGCUGGUGUCAAGGCAGGAAAGGGGUACGGCAGCGCUCCAUCGGCUACGGGGUUAUCCCGAGGUGAGACCAAGGACACAGCCCCGCUUUCGCCGUUGCCGGGGCUGAGCGUCUUUCCAUCGACGGGGCCCAACGCAGCUGCCGCCACAGCCAACGCCCCGCUUGCCGCUGCUGCUGGUGCGGCGCGGUCGGCGAAUGAAGGGAUCAUAUCUCCAGAAAACGAGGUGGUCUUUGCCCCCAACUACAACGAAGCGGCGUCUUUUAAGCCGUUUGCGCCGUCGUCGUCUCUCCAGUGUGCGCGGGUAGUCUCGAGCGCACCGGUGUCGCUGAUCCGCCCUUUGUCAGCAUCGAAGAGCACGGCAAGCGCGUCGCGAAAAGCCUCCGCCGCCCGGCAGCCGUCGACGCUGUGGGGCCGGGCGCCCACCGACUCGCUGGGCCCGUCUUCCUCGAUCGAGGUGAACUCCACAGCGCAGGUGCGGCGAUCACACUCGGCAGCUGAUUCAGCGCUGCAGGCGAGUCCGGGCGAGUCUUCCGCGUUUCACAUCUACACAACUCAGACAGCGGAGGGUGUGCAGCAGGUGCAGCAAGUGCGACACGAAGAGGAGGCACUUACCAGCCUAAGACUGCGUCUCGUGGCGGAGGUGACGGGUGAUAGCUGUCACAGCGACACAGCCCUGGCAGACGAGUGUCGCUACCACGAGGGCCAGCUAACACGACGUCGCGAGGCGCUGCUGCGGAAUUUUGAGUCGUGGUAUCGCGCUCGUGUGCCUGCCGAGGACGACACCGCGGCUGCGGCGAAUUCGUUGCAGAAACCUGCAGAGAAUUCAAAGCAGCUGACGCUUGGGACGAUGCGGCGACGGCUGCGGCGCCCUGCCACUGCUGGAAGCGCAGGGAGUGGUGGCGGUGGCGGCGAUGUGGGUGAGCUCAGUGCUAUCGCCAUCAACGGCGUCGGAGGUAAUGGCGCCUACAAGGUCUGGGGUGGCGUCAGGCCGGUUCUGCGUUCUGCCGCCUCUUUUUCCUCCGCCACACAGAAGGAGUCGGCUGACGAGGCUGCAGCGAUAGCCAUGUCGUCCGACAUCUUCAGCGCAGCCGGUGCUUCGUCUGCCGCCUACUACUCCAUGUGAUCACGGCACGCUGUUUGAAUCUGGGCUUCGCACACGAUGCAGAGCUCUUCUGCCGCUGCGGGUGGUGGCUGUGAUUGCGUGGUGUUGUGCAACGGCGGAUGUGGCUGCUGCUUGUUGCUCGCAUCAGCUUUUACAUGUGCGGUGCACCCCUUGCACUUAGGCAUCACAAGCGUGCUGGCGAAACGGCCAUGAAAGAGAAACGGGGGAGAGGGCAGGAUGGCAGUUGGACGGAGGGUGCCGGUGGCUCAAGCACGCACACGCGCGCACAGAACGAGAGGGGAAGAGCGAGCAAAGCAUUCGUUUGCUUCCCUCUCUCGCUAGCUGUUUCUCUUACUCUUAUUUGGGGUUGUUCGUGGAUGCCCCGCCCUCCCCACGCGCCUCCCUUGCGUGCUCGCCUGUCUUCACGCACACGCAUGUGCGUGUGCGUGUGCGGGCGCAUUGCUUGCUUGAGCGCUUCCAUUCAUGUACAGUAGCCGCGCGCACCACUCGUGCUAUGUGAGAGGGAGGGACGGUGAUCGAUAAGGACGGGGGGGAGGGGCGGGAGGAUAAACAUGGAGACAAGGGAGGGGCGUUUGGGCCCAGACGAUCCAGCGUACACGCUUUUCCUAUUAUCUCAUCAGCGCACAGACAUAGAGAGGUGUGUGUGUGUGCCCAUUCACUAUGUACAUGUUCUCUCCCUCCCUGCCUCUCCUCAUCAGUUCAGUCUCUCCCUCCCUCUUCUCCCUGCCCUCCCUUUUCUCGUCUCUCCUGCACCGUCUGUGCUGCUCCCACGGCACCACGUAAAAGAGGAAAGACGACGGCGGCAGCAAAGAGGCUCACGCGGAGCGGUGAUCAAAAACGAAUGCUGCUGUGCUUUCCAACAAGAAGCGCAUGCAGAGGCGGGUUGGGGGAGGAUAGGGAGAGUGAUACGGCUGCUGCUGCUGCGUAUCGUUCCGUCCCCCUUUUCUGCGCGGAG
rnacentral:misc_RNA from 1 species